rnacentral:rRNA from 1 species
UGAACGCUGGCGGCGUGCCUAACACAUGCAAGUCGAACGGAGAUAUAACGCUGCAGAGACUUCGGUCAAAGCUUGUUGUAUCUAGUGGCGGACGGGUGAGUAACGCGUGGGCAACCUGCCUCAUACUGGGGGAUAACAGUUGGAAACGGCUGUUAAUACCGCAUAAGCGCACAGAGUCGCAUGACUCAGUGUGAAAAACUCCGGUGGUAUGAGAUGGGCCCGCGUCAGAUUAGCCAGUUGGCGGGGUAACGGCCCACCAAAGCAACGAUCUGUAGCCGGACUGAGAGGUCGGACGGCCACAUUGGGACUGAGACACGGCCCAAACUCCUACGGGAGGCAGCAGUGGGGGAUAUUGCACAAUGGAGGAAACUCUGAUGCAGCGACGCCGCGUGAGUGAAGAAGUAUUUCGGUAUGUAAAGCUCUAUCAGCAGGGAAGAAAGGCUCGAAAGAGAGAUGACGGUACCUGACUAAGAAGCCCCGGCUAACUACGUGCCAGCCGCCGC